rnacentral:tRNA from 1 species
UCCCUGGUGGUCCAAUGGUUAAGACUCCACAGUUCCAAUGUAGGGGAUGCAGGUUGGAUCCCUGGUCAGGGAA